rnacentral:rRNA from 1 species
AACGAACGCUGGCGGCAUGCCUAACACAUGCCAGUCGAACGAGACCUUCGGGUCUAGUGGCGCACGGGUGCGUAACGCGGGGGAACCUGCCCUUAGGUUCGGAAUAACUCCCCGAAAGGGGUGCUAAUACCGGAUAAUGUCUUCGGACCCAAGAUUUAUCGCCUUUGGAUGGGCCCGCGUUGGAUUAGCUGGUUGGUAGGGUAAAAGCCUACCAAGGCGACGGUCCAUAGCUGGUCGGAGAGGAUGAUCAGCCACACUGGGACUAAGACACGGACCAGAAUCCUACGGGAGGCAGCAGUGGGGAAUAUUGGACGAGGGGCGAUAGCCUGAUGCAGCCACGCCGCGUGAGUGAUGAAGGCCUUAGGGUUGUAAAGCUCUUUUACCCGGGACGAUAAUGACAGUACCGGGAGAAUAAGCACCGGCUAACUCCGUG